UACAGAGGGUGCGAGCGUUAAUCGGAAUUACUGGGCGUAGAGCGCGCGUAGGCGGCUUUGCAAGUCGGGUGUGAAAUCCCCAGGCUUAACCUGGGAACUGCAUUCGAGACUGCAUUGCUAGAGUAUGGGAGAGGGAAGUGGAAUUUCCGGUGUAGCGGUGAAAUGCGUAGAUAUCGGAAGGAACAUCAGUGGCGAAAGCGACUUCCUGGACCAAUACUGACGCUCAUGUGCGAAAGCGUGGGGAGCGAUCCGG
rnacentral:rRNA from 1 species